GAUGAAGAACGCAGCGAAAUGCGAUAAGUAAUGUGAAUUGCAGAAUUCAGUGAAUCAUCGAAUCUUUGAACACACAUUGCGCCCGCCAGUAUUCUGGCGGGCAUGCCUGUUCGAGCGUCAUUUCAACCAUCAAGCCCCAGGCUUGUGUUGGGGACCUGCGGCUGCCGCAGGCCCUGAAAACCAGUGGCGGGCUCGCUGUCACACCGGGCGUAGUAGAUUUUAUCUCGCUCAGGGCGUGCUGCGGGUUCCGGCCGUUAAAAAGCCUUUUUUACCCAAGGUUGACCUCGGAUCAGGUAGGAAGACCCGCUGAACUUAAGCAUAUCAAUAAGCGGAGGA
rnacentral:misc_RNA from 1 species